rnacentral:rRNA from 1 species
GACGAACGCUGGCGGCGUGCUUAACACAUGCAAGUCGAACGAAGUGGCGAACGGGUGAGUAACGCGUAAUCAACUUGCCCUUCAGAGGGGGACAACAGUUGGAAACGACUGUUAAUACCGCCUACUGAUGGAGGGGAUUGAGUCGGAUUGGCUCGUUGGAGGGGUAACGGCCCACUGAGGCGAUGAUCAGUCGCCGGGCUGAGGGGAUGAACGGCCAAAUUGGGACUGGGACACGGCCCAGACUCCUACGGGAGGCAGCAGUGGGGAAUCUUCCGCAAUGGACGAAAGUCUGACGAAGCAACGCCGCGUGAGUGAUGAAGGCCUUCGGGUUGUAAAGCUCUGUUAAUCGGGACGCGGUACCGGAAUAGAAAGCCACGGCUAACUACGUGCCAGCCGCCGCGGUAAUUC